GUUGCAGGGUAUAGACCCGAAACCCGGUGAUCUAGCCAUGGGCAGGUUGAAGGUUGGGUAACACUAACUGGAGGACCGAACCGACUAAUGUUGAAAAAUUAGCGGAUGACCUGUGGCUGGGGGUGAAAGGCCAAUCAAACCGGGAGAUAGCUGGUUCUCCCCGAAAGCUAUUUAGGUAGCGCCUCGUGAAUUCAUCUCCGGGGGUAGAGCACUGUUUCGGCUAGGGGGCCAUCCCGGCUUACCAACCCGAUGCAAACUGCGAAUACCGGAGAAUGUUAUCACGGGAGACACACGGCGGGUGCUAACGUCCGUCGUGAAGAGGGAAACAACCCAGACCGCCAGCUAAGGUCCCAAAGUCAUGGUUAAGUGGGAAACGAUGUGGGAAGGCCCAGACAGCCAGGAUGUUGGCUUAGAAGCAGCCAUCAUUUAAAGAAAGCGUAAUAGCUCACUGGUCGAGUCGGCCUGCGCGGAAGAUGUAACGGGGCUAAACCAUGCACCGAAGCUGCGGCA
rnacentral:rRNA from 1 species